AUUGAACGCUGGCGGCAUGCCUUACACAUGCAAGUCGAACGGCAGCACGGGAGCAAUCCUGGUGGCGAGUGGCGAACGGGUGAGUAAAGUAUCGGAACGUGCCCAGUCGUGGGGGAUAACGUAGCGAAAGCUACGCUAAUACCGCAUACGAUCUACGGAUGAAAGCGGGGGAUCGCAAGACCUCGCGCGAUUGGAGCGGCCGAUAUCAGAUUAGGUAGUUGGUGAGGUAAAGGCUCACCAAGCCGACGAUCUGUAGCUGGUCUGAGAGGACGACCAGCCACACUGGGACUGAGACACGGCCCAGACUCCUACGGGAGGCAGCAGUGGGGAAUUUUGGACAAUGGGCGCAAGCCUGAUCCAGCAAUGCCGCGUGCAGGAUGAAGGCCUUCGGGUUGUAAACUGCUUUUGUACGGAACGAAACGGCGAGCUCUAAUACAGUUUGCUAAUGACGGUACCGUAAGAAUAAGCACCGGCUAACUACGUGCCAGCCGCCGCGGUAA
rnacentral:rRNA from 1 species